rnacentral:rRNA from 1 species
UACGAAGGACCCGAGCGUUAUCCGGAUUUAUUGGGUUUAAAGGGUGCGUAGGCGUCCUGGAAAGUUACGGUUGAGAUCUCCUUGCUCAACAAGGAAACUGGCCGUAAAACUAUCAGGAUUGAGUACAUUUGAAGCGGGCGGAAUGUGUCAUGUAGCGGUGAAAUGCUUAGAUAUGACACAGAACACCAAUUGCGAAGGCAGCUCGCUAAACUGUAACUGACGCUGAGGCACGAAAGCGUGGGGAGCAAACAGG